UUGAUUUGUUGUAAUCUUGGAAACUAAAUAAGACGGGGUCUGGUUAGUAUUUGGAUGGGAGACCAUUGGGAAUACCAGGUGCAAAUUGCC
rnacentral:rRNA from 1 species